UUAAAGUGGCAGAGUUAAUGCAAGGAAUUUAAGCUUCCUUUAUGAAAAUUUCCUUUAAU
rnacentral:tRNA from 1 species